GGUUUGAUCCUGGCUCAGAUUGAACGCUGGCGGGAUGCUUUACACAUGCAAGUCGAACGCAGCACGGACUUCGGUCUGGUGGCGAGUGGCGAACGGGUGAGUAAUGUAUCGGAACGUGCCUAGUAGCGGGGGGAUAAUCACGCGAAAGGUAGCUAAUACCGCAGCCCCGGGGGAAAGCGGGGGGACCGGGCCCCGCACUAUUAGGAGCGGCCGAUAUCGGAUUAGCUAGUUGGUGGGGUAACGGCUCACCAUGACGAUCCGUAGCUGUCGAGAGGAAUAACCAGCCACACUGGGAUUAGACACGGCCCAGACUCCUACGGAGGCGGCGGAAUUUUACUAAUGGGGGAACCCCGAUCCAGCCAUCCCGCGUGUGCGAUGAAGGCCUUCGGGUUGUAAAGCACUUUUGGCAGAAGAAACGGUACACGGGAUAAUACCCCGUGCAACUGACGGUACCUGCAGAAUAAGCACCGGCUAACUACGUGCCAGCAGCCGCGGUAAUACGUAGGGUGCAAGCGUUAAUCGGAAUUACUGGGCGUAAAAGCGUGGCGCAGGCGGUUCGGAAAGAAAGAUGUGAAAUCCCAGAGCUUAACUUCGGGAACUGCAUUUUUAACUACCGAGCUAGAGUGUGUCAGAGGGAGGUGGAAUUCGCGUAGCAGUGAAAUGCGAGAUAUGCGGAGGAACACCGAUGGCGAAGGCAGCUCCAGAUACCACUGACGCUCAUGCACGAAAGCGUGGGGAGCAAACAGGAUUAGAUACCCUGGUUAGUCCACGCCCUAAACGAUGUCAACUAGCUGUUGGGGCCUUCGGGCCUUGGUAGCGCAGCUAACGCGUGAAGUUGACCGCCUGGGGAGUACGGUCGCAAGAUUAAAACCAAAGGAAUUGACGGGGACCCGCACAAGCGGUGGACAGAUGUGGAUUAAUUCGAUGCAACGCGAAACCUUACCUACCCUUGACAUGUCUGGAAUCCCGGAAGAGAUCGUAGAGUGUCGCAAGAGAACCGGAACACAGGUGCUGCAUGGCUGUCGUCAGCUCGUGUCGUGAGAUGUUGGGUUAAGUCCCAGCAACAGCAACCUCCUUGUCAUUAGUUGCUACGAAAGGGCACUCUAAUGAGACUGCCGGUGACAAACCGAGGAAGGUGGGAUGACGUGUCCCCAUGGCCCUUAUGGGUAGGCCAUACACGUCAUACAAUGGUCGGGACAGGGUCGCCAACCCGCGAGGGGAGCCAACUCAGAAACCCGAUCGUAGUCCGAUCGCAGGCUCGUAACCUGACUGCGUGAAGUCGGAAUCGCUAGUAAUCGCGGAUCAGUACGCCUGCGGUGAAUACGUUCCCGGGUCUUGUACACACCGCCCGUCACACCAUGGGAGGUUUAACAGAAGUAAUAGCUUCCUAAUCCUCGUAAGGAGGGCGAUUACCACGGUAGGAUUCAUGACUGGGGUGAAGUCGUAACAAGGUAG
rnacentral:rRNA from 1 species